UCUGGUGAUUUGAGCGUUUUGGAACCACCUCUUCUCAUUCCGAACAGAGUCGUGAAACGAAACAGCGCUGACGAUACUCUUAUUGGGGGACAAUAAGUCGUUGCCAGGG
rnacentral:rRNA from 2 species